rnacentral:rRNA from 1 species
GACGAACGCUGGCGGCGUGCCUAAUACAUGCAAGUGGGACGCAAGGAAACACACUGUGCUUGCACACCGUGUUUUCUUGAGUCGCGAACGGGUGAGUAACGCGUAGGUAACCUGCCUAUUAGCGGGGGAUAACUAUUGGAAACGAUAGCUAAUACCGCAUAAUAUUAAUUAUUGCAUGAUAAUUGAUUGAAAGAUGCAAGCGCAUCACUAGUAGAUGGACCUGCGUUGUAUUAGCUAGUUGGUAAGGUAAGAGCUUACCAAGGCGACGAUACAUAGCCGACCUGAGAGGGUGGUCGGCCACACUGGGACUGAGACACGGCCCAGACUCCUACGGGAGGCAGCAGUAGGGAAUCUUCGGCAAUGGACGAAAGUCUGACCGAGCAACGCCGCGGGAGUGAAGAAGGGUUUCGGAUCGUAAAGCUCUGUUGUAAGUCAAGAACGUGUGUGAGAGUGGAAAGUUCACACAGUGACGGUAGCUUACCAGAAAGGGACGGCUAACUACGUG